rnacentral:rRNA from 1 species
ACGUUCCUACGGGGCGCAGCAGUGGGGAAUAUUGGACAAUGGGGGGAACCCUGAUCCAGCGACGCCGCGUGAGUGAAGAAGUAUUUCGGUAUGUAAAGCUCUAUCAGCAGGGAAGAAAGAAAUGACGGUACCUGACUAAGAAGCCCCGGCUAACUACGUGCCAGCAGCCGCGGUAAUACGUAGGGGGCAAGCGUUAUCCGGAUCUACUGGGUGUAAAGGGAGCGUAGACGGCGAUGCAAGUCUGAAGUGAAAGGCGGGGGCCCAACCCCUGGACUGCUUUGGAAACUGCA